GAUUCGAGCGAAAGCGAGAAAGCGUUGCCGCAGGCAACGACCCGAAGGGCGAAACGCGCAGCGCUGAGUCAUCCUUCCCCCACCACCA
rnacentral:sRNA from 2 species